rnacentral:rRNA from 1 species
AGAGUUUGAUCAUGGCUCAGGAUGAACGCUGGCGGCGUGCCUAAUACAUGCAAGUCGAACGCUUUGUUUUUAAUUGAUAUGAAGAGCUUGCUCUGAUUUGAUUUUAUCUGACAAAGAGUGGCGAACGGGUGAGUAACACGUGGGUAACCUACCUCUUAGCAGGGGAUAACAUUUGGAAACAAGUGCUAAUACCGUAUAACACUAACAACCGCAUGGUUGUUAGUUGAAAGAUGGUUCUGCUAUCACUAAGAGAUGGACCCGCGGUGCAUUAGCUAGUUGGUAAGGUAAUGGCUUACCAAGGCGAUGAUGCGUAGCCGAGUUGAGAGACUGAUCGGCCACAAUGGGACUGAGACACGGCCCAUACUCCUACGGGAGGCAGCAGUAGGGAAUCUUCCACAAUGGGCGCAAGCCUGAUGGAGCAACGCCGCGUGUGUGAUGAAGGGUUUCGGCUCGUAAAACACUGUUAUAAGAGAAGAACGACAUUGAGAGUAACUGUUCAGUGUGUGACGGUAUCUUAUCAGAAAGGAACGGCUAAAUACGUGCCAGCAGCCGCGGUAAUACGUAUGUUCCAAGCGUUAUCCGGAUUUAUUGGGCGUAAAGCGAGCGCAGACGGUUAUUUAAGUCUGAAGUGAAAGCCCUCAGCUCAACUGAGGAAGGGCUUUGGAAACUGGAUAACUUGAGUGCAGUAGAGGAAAGUGGAACUCCAUGUGUAGCGGUGAAAUGCGUAGAUAUAUGGAAGAACACCGGUGGCGAAAGCGGCUUUCUGGACUGUAACUGACGUUGAGGCUCGAAAGUGUGGGUAGCAAACAGGAUUAGAUACCCUGGUAGUCCACACCGUAAACGAUGAGUGCUAGAUGUUCGAGGGUUUCCGCCCUUGAGUGUCGCAGCU